GACGAACGCUGGCGGCGUGCUUAACACAUGCAAGUCGAACGGAAAGGCCCUGCUUUUGUGGGGUGCUCGAGUGGCGAACGGGUGAGUAACACGUGAGUAACCUGCCCUUGACUUUGGGAUAACUUCAGGAAACUGGGGCUAAUACCGGAUAGGAGCUCCUGCUGCAUGGUGGGGGUUGGAAAGUUUCGGCGGUUGGGGAUGGACUCGCGGCUUAUCAGCUUGUUGGUGGGGUAGUGGCUUACCAAGGCUUUGACGGGUCGCCGGCCUGAGAGGGUGACCGGCCACAUUGGGACUGAGAUACGGCCCAGACCAGUACGGGAGGCAGCAGUGGGGAAUAUUGCACAAUGGGCGGAAGCCUGAUGCAGCAACGCCGCGUGCGGGAUGACGUCCUUCGGGUUGUGAACCGCUUUCGCCUGUGACGAAGCGUGAGUGACGGUAAUGGGUAAAGAAGCACCGGCUAACUACGUG
rnacentral:rRNA from 1 species